GCCUGUUUAACAAAAACAUGGCUCUUUGUUAUAAGUAAAUAAAGAGUCGAACCUGCCCAGUGAUAAUUUUUAACGGCCGCGGUACCCUGACCGUGCAAAGGUAGCAUAAUCAUUUGCCUUGUAAUUUAAGGCUAGUAUGAAAGGUUUGACAAGAAUGUAACUGUCUCCUAUUAAUUAAAUAGAAUUUUACUUAUAAGUGAAAAGGCUUAUAUAAUAUUAAUAGACAAGAAGACCCUAUCGAGCUUGAGGAAAAUUAGUAGAUUAUAAGAUAAUAAGUGAUAAAAUUAAAUCUAUUAAAAAUUUUGGUUGGGGCGACUGAGGAACAAAAAAAGCUUCCUUUAUAAAUUUAACUUUUAAGUAAUGAUCCAGAAAAUUCUGAUUAAAAAAAUUAGUUACCGUAGGGAUAACAGCAUUAUCUUUUUUGAGAGCUCUUAUCGAAAAAAAGGUUUGUGACCUCGAUGUUGGACCAGAAUGUCCUGAAGGUGUAGCAGCCUUUAAGGGUUGGUCUGUUCGACCAUUAAAAUUCUACGUGAUCUGAGUUCA
rnacentral:rRNA from 1 species